UCCUGAGAAGAAUUGGCAAGAAACUCA
rnacentral:piRNA from 1 species